GCAUUGGUAGUUCAGUGGCAGAAUUCUUGCCUUCCAUUCGGGAGACCAGCAUUCAAUUCCUGGCCAAUGCA
rnacentral:tRNA from 1 species